GCUUCUUUCCUCCCGAGUGCUUGCACUCAAUUGGAAAGAGGAGUGGCGGACGGGUGAGUAACACGUGGGUAACCUACCCAUCAGAGGGGGAUAACACUUGGAAACAGGUGCUAAUACCGCAUAACAGUUUAUGCCGCAUGGCAUAAGAGUGAAAGGCGCUUUCGGGUGUCGCUGAUGGAUGGACCCGCGGUGCAUUAGCUAGUUGGUGAGGUAACGGCUCACCAAGGCCACGAUGCAUAGCCGACCUGAGAGGGUGAUCGGCCACACUGGGACUGAGACACGGCCCAGACUCCUACGGGAGGCAGCAGUAGGGAAUCUUCGGCAAUGGACGAAAGUCUGACCGAGCAACGCCGCGUGAGUGAAGAAGGUUUUCGGAUCGUAAAACUCUGUUGUUAGAGAAGAACAAGGACGUUAGUAACUGAACGUCCCCUGACGGUAUCUAACCAGAAAGCCACGGCUAACUACGUGCCAGCAGCCGCGGUAAUACGUAGGUGGCAAGCGUUGUCCGGAUUUAUUGGGCGUAAAGCGAGCGCAGGCGGUUUCUUAAGUCUGAUGUGAAAGCCCCCGGCUCAACCGGGGAGGGUCAUUGGAAACUGGGAGACUUGAGUGCAGAAGAGGAGAGUGGAAUUCCAUGUGUAGCGGUGAAAUGCGUAGAUAUAUGGAGGAACACCAGUGGCGAAGGCGGCUCUCUGGUCUGUAACUGACGCUGAGGCUCGAAGCGUGGGGAGCAAACAGG
rnacentral:rRNA from 1 species